UGUUGCAGUUAAAAAGCUCGUAGUUGGAUCUCAGGGUGAGCUCAGUUGGUCGGCCUACUUGGUCAGAACUGGCUGACUCUCCCUUGUUUCUGAAUCCCUGUGGUGGUUAACUCUAUCGCUGUGGACUUCAGAUCGUUUACCUUGAAAAAAUUAGAGUGUUCAAAGCGGGCGUUUGCUUGAAUACAUUAGCAUGGAAUAAUGGAAUAGGACCCUGGUUCUAUUUUGUUGGUUUUGAGGACCAGAGUAAUGAUUAAUAGGGAUAGUUGGGGGCAUUCAUAUUUAAUUGUCAGAGGUGAAAUUCUUGGAUUUAUGAAAGAUGAACUUCUGCGAAAGCAUUUGCCAAGGAUGUUUUCAUUAAUCAAGAACGAAAGUUAGGGGAUCGAAGACGAUCAGAUACCGUCGUAGUCUUAACCAUAAACUAUGCCGACUAGGGAUUGGGAGCGGUUUGUUCAUUGACCCUCUCAGCACCUUACGAGAAAUCAAAGUUUUUGGGUUCCGGGGGGAGUGUGGU
rnacentral:rRNA from 1 species